GCCGUAACGAGCGCAACCCUUGUCCUUAGUUACCAGCACGUUAUGGUGGGCACUCUAAGGAGACUGCCGGCGACAAACCGGAGGAAGGUGGGGAUGACGUCAAGUCAUCAUGGCCCUUACGGCCUGGGCUACACACGUGCUACAAUGGUCGGUACAAAGGGUUGCCAAGCCGCGAGGUGGAGCUAAUCCCAUAAAACCGAUCGUAGUCCGGAUCGCAGUCUGCAACUCGACUGCGUGAAGUCGGAAUCGCUAGUAAUCGUGAAUCAGAAUGUCACGGUGAAUACGUUCCCGGGCCUU
rnacentral:rRNA from 1 species